UCCCCUGUAAUAAUAUUGCUCUGCCAGCCCAAUACACGAACUACCCCACGAUAAGAAUCAAUGAAGCUGUCACUAUCACGAACUACCCCACGAUAAAUACGGUAUAAGCACCACGCCUACACAAUAUCUAUCAUUUACCCAUAGAUCCGAUGGAUAAACGCUAUACGAUCCUAAGCAUGUAUAUAGAUCCAAUCUAACUAAGCCAAGUACAU
rnacentral:lncRNA from 1 species